AGGAGAGAAUAUUACUGAAGGGUGAAAGGCGUGAGGAAUUGCAAAUUUAGCUGCUGCGUGCUGUCUGCAAGGAAGCAAUCCAAUUGGCUGUCGCUAGGUGGCGCGAGCGUCUUCGGCCAUUUUGUUCCUUGACGAAUGAGAAGUGGGAUGCUGCAUGCUGGUCGUGACGUUUCCCAAAAUUCCCAUGGUGAAAAUGUAAAGGUGAUUUCAAUACCACUUUGUCAAACCAGAAUCUAACUCGGAAGCCUGUCCAUUUUGCUGAAAUGUCGUGCCUCGUGUGUCUUGCUGCCUGCACCCAGUCGUAUGUCUCGUGCCAUGCAAAAGCAAAAGUCCGCUGUUGGUUACCUUGUUGCAGCCAGGUGGUGAAAGAUGUGAUGGAGACUAAUUGAACUGUUGUAUGCAGCGUGUGGUUCCAGUGUUAUCCAGAAGUAGCUGUGCUGGCGGUAUCCUGAACUAGCCUGAAGUUGCCAGUGAUAUCCGGGUCGCUGACUUUAAAUAUUUUUCUGUUUGCAUUUUGUGUAUUUGCCCUGCCAAUGUUAUCCUGUGUUUGAAAUCUGUUCUCUUUCGUGUUUUUUUUUGCUCUACCAGUGAUUUCCUGUGUUGCAGUCUUGAAAUGGUUUCACUGUCGUCUUUGGCGUUUUUAUUGUGCAGUAUACGAUUGAGGCAACCUGAUCUAUGUCAGGUUUGACACAGUCGACAACUGCUAGAUUAAAUUCCGGCUUUCUGCACCAACAAAAUAAUAACGGCACAUGUUAUUAUCGCGGUUGGGAAAGUCACAGGCCCCCCCCUCCCUGGGGGCCAUAAAAUUUACAUGUGGUUAUGUUUGUAAAAAAUAAAAAAAUAAAAUACAUAUUAAAAGAAU
rnacentral:lncRNA from 1 species